AUUGAACGCUGGCGGCAUGCCUAACACAUGCAAGUCGAACGGGGGCAGCAAUGCCCUAGUGGCGGACGGGUGAGGAAUACGUAGGAACCGGCCCACGAGUGGGGGACAACCUGGGGAAACCCAGGCUAAUACCGCAUACGCUCGCGAGAGGAAAGCGGGGGACCUUCGGGCCUCGCGCUGGUGGACGGGCCUACGUCCGAUUAGCUUGUUGGUGGGGUAAAAGCCUACCAAGGCGACGAUCGGUAGCUGGUCUGAGAGGAUGAUCAGCCACACUGGGACUGAGACACGGCCCAGACUCCUACGGGAGGCAGCAGUGGGGGAAUAUUGGACAAUGGGCGCGAAGCCUGAUCCAGCAAUGCCGCGUGGGUGAAGAAGGCCUGC
rnacentral:rRNA from 1 species